rnacentral:lncRNA from 1 species
CACAAUGUUUUCAUUAUGUGGUUUUGCCUUAAUUGGAUUGGACAUCAGCAAAGAAGCUGUGGUUUUCAUAUUUUUUUUUUCACCGAGACUGACCAGAACUGGCAAUUUAUGGCUCAUAGAGCUGAUGAUUUAGCACUUUCUGAGUUAGAUCUGGAGCCAAGUGCUGCAGUAAUUAUUCUGCAGCAAUUUCUAAUGGAUCUUCGAAAGCUCAGCCUAUGGCUGAGUGAGGCUCAGAGGCAGUGCAGAAAUGCAGAAGCGGAACCAACAAAAUGGAGGAAGUGGUCACUUGCAGUCUGAAUCGCAUUGUUGCCAUUCUUUUCCAAAGAGAGCUUGCAGGCUUCAAUGAAAGUGACUAAAGUUGCUCUCUUUUUUUUUUUUUUUAACAGAAAUCAGAGCAAAACUAUUAUACAUGUGUGUAUAUAUGUUUGCUGGAAAGUUGCACUAAAAUCACUUGUAAUCCACCCCAUUUUGCUGCUUUUUCCAACAACUGAAGACAUUAUUUAACAGCCUGAUGAUCUCUCCCCAUGCCUGCAGCCAGCUCCUUGCAUCUUCCUUCAGAGCAGUUAAUAGAGACCACAACCUGAAGCAGAGGGGUGUGCAUCUGUAUCCAUCAGCUGGCAUUUUGCAUGAGUUCCCAAAUGACAGGUCCCUGGUAAAUCCUUAUUCUGUCUUUUUAUGUAGAAGUUGAGGAGCUUUUUAAUUUAGGGGAAUACCUCAAGAAGAGUAAUUUUUAAGAAUGUAUGCUAUUUUGCUUGUAGUUGUGUGUGGUUAUGCGGGCCAUAAUGCUGUGGGUAUCUUAUCUGAGUAAGAGGAAAAGAGGAAAAGCUUAAACUUGUGGAAAGGAACGGAUGGUGACAAAUAGGAGGUUUUGGAGUUCAAUAUCUGCACAUGAGCCAACUCAAAAACCAAUACGUCGUUUGUUGUAGCCACAGAAAGCAAAAAUAAUGGAGAAUAAUUGAAGCAUCUUUAUUUCAAAAAAUGACAAAUGGCAAGAAGCAUUUGCAGUUUUUAUCUGCACGUAAGAAAAGAAUCAUCUGUUCUCCUUCAGUACCCUUGCAUUAUAGCUAAUUAAAACAGAACAUUUGAAUCCAACUACCAGAGUAUGAUUUAAAACAAACAUUGUCUACUUGAAGCUGAUGGUGACUUUAUUUUUUUGUAUUUCAGUAAUUAAUCUUGAUUUAUUGAAUUUAUCUACUACCCCAAAAUUGGUAUAUGCAGGGAGAUUUACACCUAGAUAUUGCUGUCACUCACAUCUUUCAUUUGAGUUGAUAUAGAUCUGUGCUGAGGUUAGUUACCAGAAUGGGGGAAGGACAAUUCACAGAGUGAGAGGUGUAUGUUUCAGAUGUGACCUCGCGGAGUGGGCCGACUGGGGACAGCAGCAGAGAACCAUGCACUUGAUAAAAGGCUGAGCAUUUGCUAGCAGCUGUUGAUGUGGCAAUGGAAAAU